GCUGGGAAGUUCAAGAUCAAGAGGUUGGCAUUUGGCAAGGGCCUUCUUGCUGUGUCAGACCGUAAUGGAAGGCAGAAGAGCAAGAGAGGAAGAAGGGGACAAACUCACUCCUUUAUAAUGCGGGAGAAACAGACCUCAAGAAGUUACAUGACUUGUUUAAGGAGCUGAGCUUGUUGGUUACAGAAGGACUAGAACCAGAGACUUCUGAUUCCCAGCCUUAUGCAAUUUCCACUGCACAAUGGCUACAUUUUAUGUGACAGAUGUUCAGAGAAAAGUGGAAAAGAUAAAGAUUGAAUGAUUCAGGAAGAAUUUCAUGGAAAAGCUUUUGUCUUCAUCAUCGGUGACCAGCAAACCAAGCUAAUCCUUUAACAACUCAAGCUAAUCCUUUAACAACUCAACCUCUCGUAAUAUCACUAAUGCAACUGGGGUCAACCCAUGGAACAGCUGCACCAAGCAAUGGAGAACAUUUCUUAGAAACCUCAGCACAGUUCACAGGCUGCGCAUGCAUUGCAGUGACUUAUUUAAAAAGACAAGAUGAAAUAUUGCAGCUAUCAAUAAUUCCUGCACAUGGCUGACUUCUAAUGAAAGGAUAAAGUUUCUGAGAAAGAGAGAAGAAAUGAAGAAAAGCAUUUUUAUCAAUUUCAAAGGAACCCUUUGAUACAAUCCUGAAAUUUUUUCUUGGGGAAAUAUUUUCUUUUAUUACCCUCCAUCAUACAGUGUUUGUUUAAUUUCCCCUUUUUUAGCAGGUAUAUAUUUCAGUUUUUAAUUUAAAAAAACACUGCUGUUACUCAUUGGUUUCUCCACAUCAUUUCAUUUCCCAUUUGCUAGUUUCUUCUUGGAAUUGUUGUUGUUGUUGUUACUGUCAGUGAUGAGGAAUUUCUUCUGAGACUUUAUUCUCUAAAAUAUUUGUCUGCAAAGGAGAAUAUGACCACAGGCGAUUUAAUUUUCCUAGACUUCAAUUUCCAUAUCUGCCAAAAAAUGUGUAAUUUCUGCUCCUUCCUUCAACACUUAGAAAUAUAAUAGUAUUUCCAUCAACAUGAUUCUCUGAAAUGUUUCAGUAAAAAUAUUAUUA